rnacentral:lncRNA from 1 species
CAAAAAACGUAUGUGCUUUUAUAAGAGCCUAAGGCAGAAAUAACAGAUCCCAGAGGCCUGUGGAUGCCAAUUUGUGCAUGUGGAGUAUAAAGCAGUGGAAUUAGAGGCUUUCCUGGAAGUCCUUUUCAGUGCCUUCCAUGUAAACCUUGUUGGUCAGAGCCAUCUUAUAUGCCAGGAGGAUCAUAUGAAGACACUGAGGAAGAACUCCAAGUGAUGAUGCAGGCAGAGAUUGGAGUGAUGCAGCUGCAAGCCAAGGACUGCUAGCCACCACCAGAAGCUAGGAAGAGGCAAGAAGGAUUCUACCCAGAGUGUCAGAGGGAGCAUGGCCCCACUGACAUCUUGAUUUUGGACUUUUAGCCUCAAGAAUUGUGAUAGAAUAAAUUACUAAAGUUUUCUUAAAGGAAUAAACUGAAAAUAAUGGAUAUAAAUAUUGCAUUUGUCUGUCUCAGUAAUGAUAGCAAGACUUGAUAACUGGGACAUGGAGAGAAACAAAGUCCUUUUCCCCUUUUUUUAUACUCCCAUAUUUUAUUUCUAGAAAUGACACAUAAAUAACAGACUCAGAAAGAGAAUAAUAGAAUGCUUCAGCUUUAUAAAUGGUGAAAUUUAGGAAGCACUAAAGAACUAGUAACUUUCUGCUCAUUUUCAGUCAAACCAUUGGAGGCAUUGCUACUCAGGAGGCAGAGAUGUUGGUUAUACCUAAUUUAUUGCUGUUAGAAAAACUCUGUGGCCUACAGGAUGGUGGCC